rnacentral:rRNA from 1 species
AGUGAACGCUGGCGGUAGGCCUAACACAUGCAAGUCGAACGGCAGCACAGGAGAGCUUGCUCUCUGGGUGGCGAGUGGCGGACGGGUGAGGAAUACAUCGGAAUCUACCUUUUCGUGGGGGAUAACGUAGGGAAACUUACGCUAAUACCGCAUACGACCUACGGGUGAAAGUGGGGGACCGCAAGGCCUCACGCGAUUAGAUGAGCCGAUGUCCGAUUAGCUAGUUGGCGGGGUAAUGGCCCACCAAGGCGACGAUCGGUAGCUGGUCUGAGACGAUGAGCAGCCACACUGGAACUGAGACACGGUGCAAACUCAGACGAGAGGCAACAGUGGGGAAUUUUGGACAAUGGGCGCAAGCCUGAUCCAGGCAUACCGCGUGGGUGAAGACGGCCUUCGGAUUGUAAAGCCCUUUUGUUGGGAAAGAAAUCCUAUCGGUUAAUAACCGGUGGGGAUGACGGUACCCAAAGAAUAAGCACCGGCUAACUUCGUGCCAGCCGCCGCGGUAACAC